rnacentral:hammerhead_ribozyme from 1 species
AUCCAGCUGACGAGUCCCAAAUAGAACGACCCGCGCGUCCUCUAU